GGAUCAAUGAAGAAGCUUAGAAAAAGAUACUUCGUCGAAAUGUGUGAAAAAUUCCUAACAUAACCUACAAAGCCAAAAGAUCC